CACUUGCACAACCACGCACGAGGGAGAGAAAGAAAAAUAGAACAGCAAGAGGAGAAGAGAAAGGCAGGUGUUCCACUUGGAGAGCAGUUGGUACUAUGACAGAUAUAAAUAUGUAGGAGCUUGUAUUCUUCUUCUGAAUUCUCCCAUGAACUUCAGUUCUCAGAGUGCCACGUCUCUCACUCGCCUGUCUUGUCUCUGUGGUCCUUCUGCUUACUUCUCCUCCUCCGUGUGUGUUCGGUCUGCAGUUGCCAUGUAACAAUAUGUGGUAACCAAGCAACUAUGCUGGCAAAGUAACCAGCGCAGUCCUGACAAAGGGGAGCACAGGACAGGCAUUUUUUAACCUUGGUGCAGCAUAAUUUAAUGAAAAUACAGCUACACCCUAUGGCAGAAUAUGAAGGAGUAUUUAUUGUGUAAUUAAAUUUUAGCGAGACUACCACUCUGUGAGUUAAAAAUGUACGGACGGGCUCCAAGAGUGACCUUCAUGACAGCAGGGGGUGCAUCGUCUGCUGUUGGUCCCGGAUCAUACAAUGUGAGCCAGUCCAGUUACAAGAUAUCAGAUGGCUAUGCACCAUUCCUUUCCUUGAGUGCCAGGCAAUCAAUAUUCUCCAAAGACAAUGAGAGUUUACUAGGACCUGGACACUAUGACUGCUCACCUGUCAAGUUAAAUGUUCAUGGUGGCAGCAGUCUUCAGAACCGCUCCAAGCGUUUUGAGGAUGUGGUGUCAGAGGUUCCAGGCCCUGGGGCCUACAAUGUGUCGCCUGCCUCAAAAAAGGCACACAGGGCUGUGACAGCUAAUGUAGGACACCCUGGAAGGCCUGGCAACAAAGUGGCUAAAGGUCUCCAGCUAGCUCUUCAGUCAGACAUUCCAUCCAUUCCCUCCCCGGGCCAGGCCUAUGGCUAUGAAGAGGAUGCCCGGGGUGUCCUCCGUAAGCAACAGCCCCCUUCUAAGGACACAACCCUGGGGCCAGCCUACUACAGUCCGCUGCUGGAGACAAGUUCUACACAGAAAUAUAAAGGAAUCCACUUUGGCAACAUGACAGGGAGGAGAUCUGAGGAGAAGGUGGAUGUGGGACCAGCUCCAGGACAAUAUGACCCCGAACUGGUCCCAGAAACACAGUACGAGAAUGUGAACCUUCAAAAGGAUCAGAGAGGCAGAGUGGAGCUUGCCAUCCCUCGCUACCAUGAACUUGUGCCCAUGCAGGCAGAAAAGAAGGGAGUUCCUGGUCCAGGCCAGUAUCACAUCAGAAGUCAGUUUGAGAAACCUGUUGAGCCUGGCGGCCUGCCGAAAUUCUCUUGUACCUUCCUCUCAAAAACUGAGGUACAGUCCAGACAGAGGUUUGGCCCUGUGAAAGAAGUGUCGCCCCCUGUUGGUACAUAUAAUGACCCGCGCUGUGCCCUGGAGCUGCUGAAGAGGACCUCAGGAAUAAAGAAAAGUCCAUUUGGUGUCACUGCAUCUCGCUUUUCUUCUAACCGCAGAAAAGGCACCACACCAGGUCCAGGUUCCUACAAUGUCUUUGAGCAUGGCUUAGCCCAGGAAAGUUUUAAAAAGGCGUUUUUUUCUCAAACCAAGACGGGAGGCUUUGGCUCUUCUUCUCAACGCAGCUCCCUUUUCUACAAAAAGGAAUCUGUCGAGACCCCGAGUCCAGCACAGUAUGAGAAGGAAAAGAAGACAGAGGAGAGCUACAAACAGCAGCACACAGCGGCUUUUAAAUCGGUCACAGAGCGUCUGGCUUCACCACUGCUGGCUAAAGAUUCCCCUGCACCCAGCAGAUACAAUGUGAAUCAGACAUUUGAGAAGGUUAAUGGCCACUCUUACUUAGAACCCCGAAGUGAAGACGCUAAGAAACGGCAAAGCUGCUUCCUGUCUGCUGCACCGAGAAAUGAUUUCUUCCUAGACAGUAACUCCAGUGUGCCAGGCCCCGGCCAGUACAACCCAAGUGUAAAAUCUGCUCCAAAGUUGGCACUGAUGUCCUCCAAAGAAGAUCGAUUCAAAGUUCCCAAGAACAUCAGCCCAGGACCUGACACUUAUUGGUUGAGUCCAAGUAUUAUGAACACACUACUGAAGGGCACCUUCAACGCGACGCUCAACAACCCUCUGAGUCCCAGCUGCUCCCCCCGUGUGGCUGAUGGGCCUUUAACAGCCCACAAGGCCAUUAAAGCAAGCACACCCAACACCUUUAUCACCACCAGCAGUUCAUAGAGUUCUUUGUGGGUCAGAGUUUAAAGAUGAAAGGUUAGUGGGGAGAAAAGGCAGCACUUUGGAAGAAGAUGACUUUGCAUUAUUGUCACAGAGUGAUACUGUAUACCUACUAAGAACAUUUCAUCUGAAGUUGGCUGUUGUGAAUUAUUUCCCCCUGUAUUUGUAUAUCAGUAAAAUUGAUAAAGGCAUUCAUAUGAACAAUGCUUGAAA